AAAACUGUGUUGAAAAGCUAAGUUUGGGGUAAAAACCCCAAAAGCUCCCAAAGCCCAAGAAAGUGCAAAAACAAAAAAAAAAGGAAAAAAUUGAUGAAUCGAGAAAAAGAAAGAAAAAUAAAAAGAGAAAAUUCUACAACUCGAAGAUUCAAAAGAAAGAAACACGGAAAAGGACAGUCGGUGAAAAAGAAAUAAGAAAAGAAAAUCGAGGAAAUAAAAAAACAAACACAGGAUGUAACAUCGACUCUGAACCAAAAGC
rnacentral:lncRNA from 1 species